AGAGUUUGAUCCUGGCUCAGAUUGAACGCUGGCGGCAGGCCUAACACAUGCAAGUCGAGCGGAUGACGGGAGCUUGCUCCUUGAUUCAGCGGCGGACGGGUGAGUAAUGCCUAGGAAUCUGCCUGGUAGUGGGGGACAACGUUUCGAAAGGAACGCUAAUACCGCAUACGUCCUACGGGAGAAAGCAGGGGACCUUCGGGCCUUGCGCUAUCAGAUGAGCCUAGGUCGGAUUAGCUAGUUGGUGGGGUAAUGGCUCACCAAGGCGACGAUCCGUAACUGGUCUGAGAGGAUGAUCAGUCACACUGGAACUGAGACACGGUCCAGACUCCUACGGGAGGCAGCAGUGGGGAAUAUUGGACAAUGGGCGAAAGCCUGAUCCAGCCAUGCCGCGUGUGUGAAGAAGGUCUUCGGAUUGUAAAGCACUUUAAGUUGGGAGGAAGGGCAGUAAGUUAAUACCUUGCUGUUUUGACGUUACCGACAGAAUAGCACCGGCUAACUCUGUGCCAGCAGCCGCGGU
rnacentral:rRNA from 1 species